CAAGUGAAUCGGCUCAGUCCGAGCCUCGGCAUCCGUUGAUCCUUUCGACAUUGGGUUCAGGGAACAUUUAGACUUCUCGGCCGCAUAAGUGCGAUGGCUGAGGACGUAAACCAACUGUUUUCGACGGAAGAAUGACUCUCCUUCCCAGAGAUCGAGAAGAAUCGCUUCGAGAAUAUCCUGAGAAACUACAAAGCGAUGAAAGACUUCGGACUGGACCCCAAGCUCCCGGAGUUCGUUUUGCAACGACAGAGGAAGCGACACAACGGGUUCGUCGCGCCCACAGCCAGGCCAGCUCGAGUCCUCGACUACGAUGGAGACGACGAGUGGACGCCCGAGAAGGAGAGAUCUAGCAGGUAUGCAAGCAAAAUGGAAGCGUAGGCAGUGGAAGAAGAGGCGGUCAUAAGAGGAAGGCAGAGUGGAGUGCUCCAGCUUGGGCCAGAAGGAGUGAGAACUACGAUGAUGCGCCACUCAGUGUAGACCAAGUAGAUGUUAUACCGUUGUGG